UCGGGAAUUUUGGGCAAUGGGCGAAAGCCUGACCCAGCAACGCCGCGUGAAGGAUGAAGUAUUUCGGUAUGUAAACUUCGAAAGAAUAGGAAGAAUAAAUGACGGUACUAUUUAUAAGGUCCGGCUAACUACGUGCCAGCAGCCGCGGUAAUACGUAGGGACCAAGCGUUGUUCGGAUUUACUGGGCGUAAAGGGCGCGUAGGCGGCAAUUCAAGUCAUCUGUGAAAUCUCCGGGCUUAACUCGGAACGGUCAGAUGAUACUGCUUUGCUAGAGUGCAGAAGGGGCAAUCGGAAUUCUUGGUGUAGCGGUGAAAUGCGUAGAUAUCAAGAGGAACACCUGAGGCGAAGGCGGGUUGCUGGGCUGAUACUGACGCUGAGGCGCGAAAGCUAGGGUAGCAAACGGGGAUUAGAUACCCUAGUAGUCCCUGAGCGGGCUGGCAAGGCGCAU
rnacentral:rRNA from 1 species